GCUGAGCCGCGCCGCGGAGGCGGCCCGGGGGCGGGGGGCCGCGGCGGUUCGCGCCCUGCCCUCGGCCCAGCCCAGACCCGGGAGCCGCCCACGUCUGCCCGCUUCGAUUCUUCCAGGGGCCGCCGAGGGCUGUGGUUACUUUGCUCUUCCUCUGAAGCAACCUGUGAUGUUGUUUCCCCCAGUCCAGCCCAAAUGAAAGAGAAGAUUCCUAAUUGCAGGAAAAGAAAGAAGCUGGUCUUUUGAUCCUGUACUGCUCAAAAUGGAACUAAACCCACAGAACAUUUUGCCAGAUCUUUUGUGGUAAAGCAGUAUCCUAACUGUUUGCAACAAGCCUUUCUGCUUCCUUCCACAAAGUGAGACAUCAGAAGAACGCCGUUGGAAAAGGAAGGUAACAAAAGGAAGGUCAUUCCCUGGAAGGUGGUGACUGUUGAGUUCCUGAAGAGGGGAAAGAGCUCUUUCUAACUACUGCAGUUUGAUAAAACCGGCAUCGCUGGAAGCUAUGAGUAUGGCUGUCAUCCAGGAAGAUGAUAAACUCCAACACCUUAUAAUUAUUUUGGCAAAAACAACUUGGAACAAUGCAUCUGAAAUUAAAGGGUACUGAAAAAAUAGAAAGUGUGGUGAAUGCACUUUCAAUACCUCUUUCUGUUGUUCUUUGAGGAUAAAAUUCUCUCUUCUCUACAAUUUAUAUGAAGUGAGAGCAAAUCUGACAACUCUCACCACUACCGGAUGCCCCAUGUGUCAGCAGUCACUUUGGCUGGGAUGUGUGGAACAGACUCUGAACCAUUCCUCCCCCAGGCUUAUCGCUGGAGCGGGGCUAGCUCUCCAAAAAAUAUUCUAUUUACACUUCAAUCCUCAACCACACAUCAGAGAGCCUCUCACAAGGUCUGGGGUGUUCCAGCAACUGCGGUCCAUCAAAUGUAUUUAAGAAUGUAAAAAAAAGAUAAGGAAAGCUGUGGAUGAGAUGCUGGGCUGGGAGUCAGGAGGCUUUGGUGCUGCUCCAGCGCAGGCAGAGACCUGCCAGGUGGGGUGGGGAAGCUCUCAUUCCCACUGCCCCAUGCUCCCCUUCCACUCUUUGCUUCAUCUCUGUAAAAGCUUGAAGCCUUUUGGGAAAACAGCGUGUCUGCAAGGCCGUACACAGUACGGAGCGCUAGGCAGCUACACUCUCAUACUGAGCUUUUAGGCACCACUGAAAUAUCAACAAGAAUAAAUUGGCUUAGACAGCAACCCUCCCCUCCUCUUCAUCGCCGCUAGCCGUGUAGCAAAUGCAACCUAAAAUCUCUGCAGCACCUUCCCAGACCCAAAAGUACCCCUGAGCUGCCCUGAGCCCCACGGGAGCUGGCUGGGGCAGAAGGGCUCUGCAGCUGCGCCGGGAAGGUCAACAAAUUCUGACAUUUGUUCAA